AAGGGCGCUGCCCUGGACUCAGGGAGCUCACUCCUCCUCUCUGGGCAACAGAGAAAAGUCACCCACUGCAGCAAAAGCCAUGAGAAUAUGCUCAGUGAUAAGGCAGUGGCGUUAAAUCUGCAGGCAGUGGGCUAUCUGUGGGUCCUUAAAUCUAUUUAGUGCAUCUUGAACAGUAUUUUUAAGCUGGGAUAAGUGGAAUAGGAAGGAGUGGAGUGGAGCAUGAUGAUGAUUCCCCCAACAACCCUGGGAGGUGGCAAGAUAGGAUCAUGCUUCUCCUUGCAAAGCUGAGACGAUGGGGACUUGGCAAGGCUGAGAGACUCUCUGGAGGUUGACAGCUGAGAGGUCAGAGCACCAGACCUGGGGGUCCCACAGCCCAGCUCCCAGUGUGGAGGGUCCUGCUGUGCCCACUGCCACCAAAAACACAGCUUCGCCCAGCAUCAUGCAGUAUCUGCCACACAGCGUCUGUCUGCCACAUGGCAUCUGCCACCUGAACUAUCUCCAGGCACCUCUGCAGUUACAGCAACAGCCACAGGAGUGACAAAUCUGGGUACCGACAUCCAGGAUGAAGACUACAUUUCCCAGCAUCCCUUGCAGCAAACAGAGGUCAUGUGACCAGGCUGUGGUCACUGGGAGGUUAGGCCUGUGCACAGUGGCUGCCUUUAGAGGAAGGAAG
rnacentral:lncRNA from 1 species